UACGUAGGGGGCAAGCGUUGUCCGGAUUUAUUGGGCGUAAAGAGCUCGUAGGCGGUUCAGUAAGUCGGGUGUGAAAACUCUGGGCUCAACCCAGAGACGCCACCCGAUACUGCUGUGACUUGAGUACGGUAGGGGAGUGGGGAAUUCCUGGUGUAGCGGUGAAAUGCGCAGAUAUCAGGAGGAACACCAGUGGCGAAGGCGCCACUCUGGGCCGUAACUGACGCUGAGGAGCGAAAGCGUGGGUAGCAAACAGG
rnacentral:rRNA from 1 species